rnacentral:rRNA from 1 species
AUUGAACGCUGGCGGCAUGCCUUACACAUGCAAGUCGAACGGCAGCACGGGUGCUUGCACCUGGUGGCGAGUGGCGAACGGGUGAGUAAUACAUCGGAACGUACCUUAUCGUGGGGGAUAACGCAGCGAAAGCUGUGCUAAUACCGCAUACGCCCUGAGGGGGAAAGCGGGGGAUCGCAAGACCUCGCGCGAUUAGAGCGGCCGAUGCCUGAUUAGCUUGUUGGUGGGGUAAAAGCCCACCAAGGCGACGAUCAGUAGCUGGUCUGAGAGGACGAUCAGCCACACUGGGACGAAGACACGGCCCAGACUCCUACGGGAGGCAGCAGUGGGGAAUUUUGGACGAUGGGGGCAACCCUGAUCCAGCAAUGCCGCGUGAGUGAAGAAGGCCUUCGGGUUGUAAAGCUCUUUUGUCAGGGAAGAAACACCGGCUCUAACACAGUCCGGGAACGACGGUACCUGAAGAAUAAGCACCGGCUAACUACGUGCCAGCCGCCGCCGUAA